rnacentral:rRNA from 1 species
AUUGAACGCUGGCGGGAGGCCUUACACAUGCAAGUCGAACGAGUGGCGGACGGGUGAGUAAUGUCUGGGAAACUGCCUGGUAGAGGGGGAUAACUACUGGAAAGGGUGGCUAAUACCGCAUACCAUCAGAGGUGCCCAGAUGGGAUUAGCUUGUUGGUGGGGUAAAGGCUCACCAAGGCGACGAUCCCUAGCUGGUUUGAGAGGAUGACCAGCCACACUGGGACUGAGACACGGUCCAGACUCCUACGUGAGGCAGCAGUGGGGAAUAUUGGACAAUGGGGGAAAGCCUGAUGCAGUCAUGCCGCGUGUAUGAAGAAGGCCUUCGGGUUGUAAAGUACUUUCAGCGGGGAGGCGGUACCCGCAGAAGAAGCACCGGCUAACUCCGUGCCAGCCGCCGCGGUAAUAC